GCAAUGGCCGGUUUUCAACUUCACCAAUCUGACAACGGAGAGGAGGAACAAACACAACAACCUUUGCCACGAAGGCAUGAGCACGACGUUUCAGUGUUGUAGGAGAAUGAAUCAGCUGCCUGUUCCUUGUACCAAAAACAUCCAGGACUGUUUAGACCCAUAUACACUUCAAAACAUCCACAACAUCUUCAGAGAACAUCACGGAGAACUGCAGAAGAGCUGUGCAGACACUUGGCAGCUCAUCGCAGCUUUGUGAGCCGGUGCUGGGGAUACUCUGGGACACAACUGCAGAGUGGGUAUCCUGUCGUGUGUCGUCCUGAGGAUUCGCCUCUAGUUUCCUGACCCGACUGGACAG